GAUGAACGCUAGCGGCAGGCUUAACACAUGCAAGUCGAGGGGUAUUGGUUUUCGGACCAAGAGACCGGCGCACGGGUGCGUAACGCGUAUGCAAUCUACCUUUUGCAGAGGGAUAGCCCCAGAGGAAUUUGGAUUAAUACCUCAUAGUAUAGUACUUUGGCAUCAAGGAACUAUUAAAGUCACAACGGCAAAAGAUGAGCAUGCGUCCCAUUAGCUAGUUGGUAAGGUAACGGCUUACCAAGGCUACGAUGGGUAGGGGUUCUGAGAGGGAGACCCU
rnacentral:rRNA from 1 species